UGGGGUAUAGCCAAGCGGCAAGGCAAUUGGUUUUGGUCCAAUCAUUCGGAGGUUCGAAUCCUCCUACCCCAUCCA
rnacentral:tRNA from 3 species